rnacentral:rRNA from 1 species
AUAUCAAUAAGCGGAGGAAAAGAAACCAACAGGGAUUGCCUCAGUAACGGCGAGUGAAGCGGCAAGAGCUCAAAUUUGAAAGCUGGCCCCUUCGGGGUCCGCGUUGUAAUUUGCAGAGGAUGCUUCGGGUGCAGCCCCCGUCUAAGUGCCCUGGAACGGGCCGUCAUAGAGGGUGAGAAUCCCGUCUGGGACGGGGUGUCUGCGUCCGUGUGAAGCUCCUUCGACGAGUCGAGUUGUUUGGGAAUGCAGCUCUAAAUGGGUGGUAAAUUUCAUCUAAAGCUAAAUACUGGCCGGAGACCGAUAGCGCACAAGUAGAGUGAUCGAAAGAUGAAAAGCACUUUGAAAAGAGAGUUAAACAGCACGUGAAAUUGUUGAAAGGGAAGCGUUUGCGACCAGACUCGCCCGCGGGGUUCAGCCGGCAUUCGUGCCGGUGUACUUCCCCGUGGGCGGGCCAGCGUCGGUUUGGGCGGCCGGUCAAAGGCCCUCGGAAUGUAUCACCUCUCGGGGUGUCUUAUAGCCGAGGGUGCAAUGCGGCCUGCCUGGACCGAGGAACGCGCUUCGGCUCGGACGCUGGCGUAAUGGUCGUAAAUGA